rnacentral:lncRNA from 1 species
UGAUUGGCUUUAGGACAUAAUUCCCAAUAGAGCUUCUCUGAUAUCCAUUAAGAUGAGAAGAAUCAAUCCAUCAAUUGAUGGGGUCUUAAUCUAACUAAUUUUCUAAUUAGAUUGGGGCCUAAUUGGUUUUAUAAUUGGACUAGGACCUAAUUAGUUAGUUUGUUAUAACUAAUUCCUAAGUUAGUUAGGAUUGGGUCCAAGAAUUUGUUAGAAUUGGAACAAGAUUCAUGAGUCUUAUUUGGAACAGGACUGAACCAACCCACCA